AAACAACAGCAACAACAACAACAAACAAACAAAAAAAACGAACCUGUGAAUUUGUCAUGUAGAAUUUAAGCCCCAAAGGUCUGGCUUUUUAACGCUGGCUUGAGAUUGUAUCUCUUCUGUUCUCCCCAUAUCUUCAUGUCUGUUCCAGUUGUUGGUGAUAAAAUACCCCAACAAAAGCAACUUAAGGAGAAAGGGCUAAUCUGGCUCACAGGUUCAGGUUACAGUUGAUCAUUGUAGGGGCAUCAAGGCAACAGGAAGUUCAAGCAACCGGUCACAUCACAUUCACAGCCAAGAGCAGAGAACCAUGAAUUCAGGCAUGCGCACGUGUGUUCAGCUCUCUUUCUUCACUCAGACAGUUCAGAAGCUCUCUGCCUAGGGAAUGGCGCCACCCAUGGUGGGCAAAUCUUCCCACCUCAAUUAAUAUAAUCAAGACAAGUCUCCACAGACAUAACUACAGGGCAAACUAUACUACUUAAUUCCUCACUGAGACUCCCUUCUCCAGGUGACUCUAGAUUGUGACAAGUUGACACCGUACAGUGAUCUACCACCUUCCUACCUCCAUCUGUCUUUUCUCCACUGCCCACUGUUUCAGUUGCCUCUCAUUUCCAACCAUCCAAAUCCUACCUUUACCUUAAGGUUAUUUUCAGAUUUUCAGAGUCUUUCCCAAAAGUUCCAUCUUUUUCUGUUGUUGUUUUGUCUUGUCUUGUUUUUGUUGUUGUUGUUGUUGGUUGGUUUUCGAGACAGUUUCUCUGUGUAGCCACUUUCCCCUCUUCUGGACUCCCACAGUUCCUCGUUAGGACCAGGAACAUGGCAGGGGCAGGGUAACUUCUGAGCAGUGCUUGGCCUUUCCCAGUUUAGGGGAUUAAGUUUCUCUGUGAUUUUGCUUUAGGAAGGGUUAGGACUGUGACACACUGUACGGGUUAGGGUACAGAUAAGGCUGAUAUGGCAGAGGCCCCUAAAAGGCUAUCCAAACUGGACAGACAAGUUAUUUUCUCCCAUAUACCAACCUAAAGACCGUAGCAGUGAUCACAGCUGGGUAAGCAGUUAUACUCCAUGUAUGCCUUAGAUCUAGAAUGUUCCCUAAAGGCCGUCGAGUUGAAGGCUUGGUUUCCAGUGUGGUACUAUUGGAACUUGCUGGAAAAUUUAAGAGGUGGGCCCAUUAGGAAGAGUCUGGGCCAUUGGUGAUGUGUCCCUUGAAGGAGUCCCCUCUCUGUUUGCCUUUGGCCACCAUGAGGUGCCACUGUAUGCUUCUGCCAUGAUGUGCUGUCGUCUCUCCAGAAGCCCAAAAAGCUGUGGGCUGACUGAGGACUGAAACUAUGAGGCCAAAGAAAUCUUUUCCCUUGUUAUGUUGCUUU
rnacentral:lncRNA from 1 species